AAGAGGGCAAGUCGUGUGUGAAGUGUUGAUCAGCCUCACUGGUGUUUUGAAGAUGAUCUGGUCGUGUCCUAGCUUCUCUAAGGUGGCUGUGAAGUCUGUUGAGAGGGGGAGACUUCAAACCGGUUCCAUGAAGAGGUGAAGCUGAAAUGUGAAGUGUGCGCAAAGCUGUGAAGAGUUGCUGCAUCUAUUAGGCCGUGAUCCAGAGCUUCUUGUGUCCAACCAUAUUGGUUCUAAGGCACAAGAGCUCACUGGCCAAUCCCUAGGCUUU
rnacentral:lncRNA from 1 species